CAGUCGCCACGGUAAUACGAGGUGGGCAAGCGUUGUUCGGAAUUAUUGGGCGUAAAGGGCGCGUAGGCGGUUUGACAAGUCUGAUGUGAAAUCUCUGGGCUCAACCCAGAGUCUGCAUCGGAAACUGUCGAGCUUGAGUAUGGGAGAGGUGAGUGGAAUUUCCGGUGUAGCGGUGAAAUGCGUAGAUAUCGGAAGGAACACCUGUGGCGAAAGCGGCUCACUGGACCAUUACUGACGCUGAGGCGCGAAAGCUAGGGGAGCAAACAGGAUUAGAUACCCCAGUAGUCCAUGUCUCUUAUAC
rnacentral:rRNA from 1 species